UACAGGGGGGGCAAGCGUUGUUCGGAAUUACUGGGCGUAAAGGGCUCGUAGGCGGCCAACUAAGUCACACGUGAAAUCCCCAGGCUUAACCUGGGAACUGCGUCUGAUACUGGAUGGCUUGAAUUCGGGAGAGGGAUGCAGAAUUCCAGGUGUAGCGGUGAAAUGCGUAGAUAUCUGGAGGAAUACCGGUGGCGAAGGCGGCAUCCUGGACCGAGAUUGACACUGAUGAGCGAAAGCCAGGGGAGCAAACGGG
rnacentral:rRNA from 1 species